AAAUGUGGACAGAUUUGGGCUGCUUGCAACCACGAAAAAAAAUGCUAAAAUCGU
rnacentral:ncRNA from 1 species